rnacentral:rRNA from 1 species
UACAGAGGUGGCAAGCGUUGUUCGGAAUUACUGGGCGUAAAGGGCGCGUAGGCGGCCUUCUAAGUCAGACGUGAAAUCCCCCGGCUUAACCUGGGAACUGCGUCUGAUACUGGGAGGCUUGAGUAUGGGAGAGGGAUGUAGAAUUCCAGGUGUAGCGGUGAAAUGCGUAGAUAUCUGGAGGAACACCGGUGGCGAAGGCGACAUCCUGGACCGGUAUUGACGCUGAGGCGCGAAAGCCAGGGGAGCAAACGGG